rnacentral:rRNA from 1 species
GGGAACGUGGCGAAAGGGUGAGUACUACAUGGAUAACCUACCCGGCAGAGCGGGAUAAUCCAUCGAAAGGUGGGGUAAUACCGGAUGGUCUGGCAGUCUUAUCAGUCUGUCAGUAAAGGUUGCUUCGGCAUCUGCUGGAGGAGGGGUCAUUUCCUAUUAGCUUGUUGGUCAGGUAAUGGCUUACCAAGGCAUAGAUGGGUAGGGGGCCUUAGCGGGUGAUCCCCCACACUGGGAGUGAGACACUGCCCAGGUUCCUACGGGAGGCUGCAAGCGAGAAUCCUCCGCAAUGGGCGAAAGCCUGACGGGGUGACGCCGCGUGGACGAUGAAGGCCUAUCACGUUGUCAAGUCCUAACAGGGAGUAUGAAAAUCGGCGGGUCCACUAGGCCCGUUGAUUGACGUCAAUCCCAGAUGAAGUCACGGCUAAAUAUGUGCCAGCAGCCGCGGUAAGACAUAUGUGGCGAGCGUUGUUCGGAAUUACUGGGCUUAAAGCGCGCGUAGGCGGUUCAGUCAGUUAAUUUGUGAAAUCCCCCGGCUUAACCGGGGAAUCGCGGUUAAUACUGCUGAACUCGAGUACAAGAGGGGAGAGUGGAAUACUGGGUGUAGCGGUGGAAUGCGAAGAUAUCCAGGAGAAGGACGGUGGCGAAAGCGACUCUCUGGCUUGAUACUGACGCUGAG